rnacentral:tRNA from 1 species
CGGGCUAUAGCUCAGUAGGUAGAGCGCUACGUUCGGGACGUAGAGGCCGUGGGUUCGAGUCCCGCUAGCCCGA